UCCCUGGUGGCUCAGUUGGUAAAGAAUCUGCCUGCAAAGCAAGAAGCCCAGGUUCUAUCCCUGGCUUGGGAA
rnacentral:tRNA from 1 species